GAUGAGCGCUGGCGGCGUGCCUAAUACAUGCAAGUCGAACGAAACUUCUUUAUCACCGAGUGCUUGCACUCACCGAUAAAGAGUUGAGUGGCGAACGGGUGAGUAACACGUGGGCAACCUGCCCAAAAGAGGGGGAUAACACUUGGAAACAGGUGCUAAUACCGCAUAACCAUAGUUACCGCAUGGUAACUAUGUAAAAGGUGGCUAUACUACCGCUUUUGGAUGGGCCCGCGGCGCAUUAGCUAGUUGGUAGGGUAAAGGCUUACCAAGGCAAUGAUGCGUAGCCGAAUUGAGAGGUUGAUCGGCCACAUUGGGACUGAGACACGGCCCAAACUCCUACGGGAGGCAGCAGUAGGGAAUCUUCCACAAUGGGCGAAAGCCUGAUGGAGCAACGCCGCGUGGGUGAAGAAGGUCUUCGGAUCGUAAAACCCUGUUGUUAGAGAAGAAAGUGCGUGAGAGUAACUGUUCACGUUUCGACGGUAUCUAACCGGAAAGCCACGGCUAACUACGUG
rnacentral:rRNA from 1 species